UACAGAGGUCCCAAGCGUUGUUCGGAUUCACUGGGCGUAAAGGGUGCGUAGGUGGUCAGGUAAGUCUGAUGUGAAAUCUCUGGGCUCAACCCAGAAACUGCAUUGGAUACUAUCUGGCUAGAGGAGUGGAGGGGGGACUGGAAUACUUGGUGUAGCAGUGAAAUGCGUAGAUAUCAAGAGGAACACCGGUGGCGAAGGCGGGACUCUGGGCCGAUACUGACGCUGAGGAGCGAAAGCGUGGGGAGCAAACAGG
rnacentral:rRNA from 1 species